UACAGAGGUCUCAAGCGUUGUUCGGAUUCAUUGGGCGUAAAGGGUGCGUAGGCGGCGCGGUAAGUCGGGUGUGAAAUCUCGGGGCUUAACUCCGAAACUGCAUUCGAUACUGCCGUGCUUGAGGACUGGAGAGGAGACUGGAAUUUACGGUGUAGCGGUGAAAUGCGUAGAUAUCGUAAGGAACACCAGUGGCGAAGGCGGCUCACUGGCUCGGUACUGACGCUGAGGCGCGAAAGCGUGGGGAGCAAACAGG
rnacentral:rRNA from 1 species